CCUACGGGUGGCAGCAGUGAGGAAUAUUGGUCAAUGGACGAAAGUCUGAACCAGCCAUGCCGCGUGCAGGAAGACGGCUCUCUGAGUUGUAAACUGCUUUUUUACGAGGGUAAACCUGAAUACGUGUAUUUAGCUGAAAGUACUGUACGAAUAAGGAUCGGCUCACUCCGUGCCAGCAGCCGCGGUAAUACGGAGGAUCCAAGCGUUAUCCGGAUUUAUUGGGUUUAAAGGGUGCGUAGGCGGAUUGAUAAGUUAGCGGUGAAAUGUCCGGGCUCAACUCGUGACCUGCCUAUAAAACUGUCGAUCUAGAGAGGAGAUGAGGUAGGCGGAAUGUAUGGUGUAGCGGUGAAAUGCUGAGAGAUCACACAGAACACCGAUUGCGAAGGCAGCUUACCAAUCUAUAUCUGACGUUGAGGCACGAAAGCGUGGGGAGCAAACAGGAUUAGAUACCCUAGUAGUC
rnacentral:rRNA from 1 species